UUCUUAUCACGAGAGGCGGAGGGAAUGGCCCUAUGAUGUCUCAGCAACCAGCCACUAGGUCAGGUGCUAAUUCCAACAAGUUGAAAUUAACUUGAGAGAUAAGAA
rnacentral:ncRNA from 2 species